rnacentral:lncRNA from 7 species
AUGAAAAAAGCACCACUUGCCAGGAGCACUCCAGUGCCUCAUUCCCGAGGGCCAAGAUGGGCUUCCCCAUGGCUGGGCUCAAUGCCUGCUCUAGAGAGAGCAAUUGAUGCCCCGACAUUUGAUUUCUGUCCAGGAGGGGAAUGCCAUCAGGGUGUUUACUUACGUGCUGAAAUGCUGGAAGGUGCUCAGAGGACACGAUUCCCUGGGGAAACCCUGCGAGAGCAGUGGGGGGAGGUGGGGGACGGGGGCAGCCAGGCUGUGUACGUCGGAGCUGUUCCAAGGCACUGUCUCAUUGGCAACUUGCUAUUUGCUUUGCUUCUGAAGGAAGCUCUUCACCUUCGUGAGACACAGCCUUCUUUACCUGAGGACAUGUCACUUCACUACGAAGAGCAAACACAGCACAAAGCACUAGCGCUGUCGCCGAACAGGGGACAAGUGCUGCGGUUUGGGUCUUGUGCUCCCACCCCUCACCCACAGAGCCCUAUAACUUUCAGGCUGCACACCCCUCCCACAGGCCACAUCCGCCUGGCUUCCACCCCGCAGGGUCCCCUCGGAGACAGUAUGGCUACCCAGUGCCUUUGCCUCCUGAUUCUCACCUCCCUGCUGGCCCUGGCAGCACCUCUUGUCUUUGACAUAAAAAACUUGCAUCUCUUAAAUGGAACGAUGGAUGAAAUUAUGAAUAUUCACCCUGAGCCCGUCCAGCCUGGUAAGUAUUCCUGUGUAAUAGAGAGAGGCAAACAAGGUCAUGUUUGGUCGGAUGCUAUGCAGCUCUACGCCCCAACCCAGCCCAACUCCAGCCCUGUGUCGUGGAGGAUGGACUCAACAUUGCUCUGCGUGUGGACAAUGCCAACACAAUUUGCACUGUCUUGCUGGGACAAGAGUUACCCAGAGUCCUCUGAUAGUAGCCCGCCUCAUCCUCUACAUAGCAUCAAGUUCUUCAGCCCCUCUGUGAGCCCACUAGUCUGAACCCCAGAGCCCCUGGGAUCACAGAAGGGACAGAUUCAUCUGUGGACGUACACAAGAUGUCCUUGUAAGAGAACUGCAUUCAUUCACUCUGAAGCAUCCUUUCUUCCAGCAGUAUCUUCAAAUUCCCCUCUGAGCUCCUCUUUCUGUUCCAGACACCAGAGCCAGUUUUCCUGUGGCCACUCUAACAUUUCUUCCCCCUCUCAUCCCGCUUCUGCCUCUGUCCCUUACUGACUCCUACUGUAAUUUAGCGACUACUUUCCUGGUAUUGCUAUCACCUUUUGGUGCUCAAACCCUUCUCAUCGAGGAAGCAUCUGCCCCAUGGUUAUUCCCCCAUGCUGCCAGUGGCCCCAGUACCCAGAGAGAACAUCCCUCUGGAGUGAGGAGUAGCCACAACAACAGGAUCACGAUCUGGAAAGGGUCAUGCUCUCCUAGCAGGCGUCUGACAUCCAUGCUCUCAACACUCACUCCUGUCUCCUCUGCUCUUGUCUAUUCAGAUGAGGGGGACCACCACGUUCGACAGGUCAGAGAUAUUGCCCGCGCCCACCAGCGGCUCAUGGUAAGUCUGUGCAAGAAGUACAUCUUCUCACAAGAUUUCACCUUUGCUAAUAGCCCAGAGGCUCAUGGAGAGCUCUUGGCCCUUUGUAUGCACUCGUUCCUCCAGAAACAACAGAGGUGCCACAGCUCAUCAUCCUGGAUAGACCCUAGCACCAGCCACGUUCUCCACUUAAUAUGUGCUGAGAGAAUUUUCUACCUGAAGAUCUAAACUGGAAAUUGAUGAUUCAUUAUCUGCCUUCAGGUUGUGGUGGCUGAUUAUUACCUGAUUUUGGCUGUGCAGUUGAUGACAAGGCUGGUUAAGACAGAGAGUAACUGAAUAACUGAGCUGGCUGAGUCAGCGCAAGCUCUAUGGCCACAUGGCACGGCUUCUUUGGGUG